UGGUGGGUGUUGGGGUGGGCUUGGCCACCACCUGAGUUUUCACUGUCUUCAGAGUCCCAGGUGGGGUGGAAGGUAACCCCGAGGUCCGAGUGUCCCUGGAGCAAGCUACGUUCUGUGCCCUGCUGGGGUGGUGUGUGGGUAACUUUCUGGUUCCUUCCUGCUUCCAUUCUGAGGGUGUGCAGAAUCCAGUCUACUUUCUUGUAGCUAGGAACGGCCAAGGCAUGUGGGGGACAGCUCAGGGAGGAGCAGCGCUCUCUGUCAGGCUGCAGACCCCACCUUGUUAGUCCUCUGCCCGAGUUUCCGCCUUGGCUGUAGCUUUAGAUGGUCCCUCAGUGUGGUGUCGUCCUGAGAACUUCCUCCUGGAGUCUUGGAGGGUCCCCUCUGACUCCGUUUCUAACAGGCCACUGGGGGUCAGGGCAGGACGGGGUGCUUGUGGGCUUUAGGGUGGUGACAGGGACAGGCAGAGGAGCUAGGGCUGGGCAGUCAGAGGCUUGGCCCUGGGUGAUGUCCAUGAGACAGGAAGCCAGCACCACUCCGCCAGGCAGGGGCCAGGCAGCAAGGUGGAUUCUUGGGAAGGGCAUCUUCUGAGUGCCCGGGAGCAGGCUGAGCCCCGAGGUGCAGCUCCGACAGGUGCAUGGCUCAGUCACUUCCCGGUGUUGUCAGACCUCACACGCCGUGUCUCCCGCCCUCCCUGCCAGGACUCGUCUCCAGAAGCCUCAGGUUUCCGUAAGCUGCAGGGGACUGAGGCCACAAGGGGGCUGGAGGGAAAGGGCCUGUGAGGCUGGCCCUUUGGACCAGUUCCUGGAGGGAGAGGAGGCUUUGUUACAAACCCUACUGGCCAGAGCAAGUGGGCUGGGGCACAAGGCGUGUACCCCUCAAUCCUCCUGCAGACCCUGGGCUUCGGCCCUCUUGCUGGGAGACCCUCCAGGGAAUAGGGUACCUGCUCCAUCUUCCCCUUCACAGCACUUACUGCUUUGAGCUGUAACUGUCCAUCUACACCCCACCCAUGGCCUCGAGUGUAGACCCCAUACCUCAUCCCCACAGUGGCCAGCACAUAGCAGGUGCUCAGUAAAUGCCUGCCGAUGGAUGAGUGAUUCUGCUGAAGACAAAGGGGUCUUCCCUCUUCACCGGGCCUCUCCCCGUCCCCACAGCCGGUGCAUGGGAGCGCACCUUUAUCGAGCCAGCCACUUUAAGGCUAAUCACAUUCAUUCAGAAUCACAUAGUUAAGUAAAAUUUACUUUGGGUGGGAUUAACUUGGCUCUCUGAGGGCAGCAUAAAGCACAGCAAUGCUCCAUUGCAAAGUCCCGUCCCGCCGUUGUAAAAGAGUUUGUCGUCCUUUUGUGGCGACUGUGCAGCGUUCCCGGAGGCACGCGAUGCUUACUUACUGAUCCACAGAUGACGGAUGGUAGAUCCCGCUUUGUCUGGAAGGGAAAACUCGAACAGCUUGUCUGCACCUCUCCACUCGGACAUUAAAUCAACAUGGCUCUAUUAGUGGCCUUGGGAUGCCAGCUGAGCUGUCUCCGAGCCUGUCACCGUGAUGUCUUCAUCUGUAACCAGAGCAGACGUGAGCUCCUGGCAGCUUCAGGAGGUGACAACAAAUCCAAUUAGCUCCUCUCCACGGCGCCGCAGGACUUCUGCGAAACGGCCUGCCGGGGAAGGCGGCUGGUACCCCGCGCAGUGGGACACGGCGGGUGCUGUUCUUGGGAAGGAGGGAGGGAGAGAGAGAGAGAGAGAGAGAGGGGAAGGGAGGGGAAACAAAGGACCAGGCGUAAUUGUUGGAGUGACUCUGUGCGAGUGGAGAGACCUAGUGCCAGAUCGGCCGCACCGGGCCAGCCCUGCUGGUUCUUGGACAGCAACGAGGCUGCCAGGAGCCCAGCUGAUGGCCAAUCCCUGCUUUGGAACCGUGCUUGACUUUGAUGGUGCUUAUCUUGGGGGACAAUCACAUGUCCCAUUCCCAUCCUCCUCUGCCCCCUUCCUGGCUUCCCUCUUUGUCCCUGAAACAGCACAAUGUCAAGACAGCCCCGGUUCACAGCCCCGGAGUCUGAGGGUUCACGGAAGUUUCCGGUUCUCCAGAGGAACACGACAUUAACAGUUUCUUGGGUCAUUUAUUUCCUAGUUUUGGGGCCCCCUUCGCCUGUGUCUCCCUGGUUCUUUGUGGAGCACGGAGAAGGGGAGCCGGAACAGGUUAGCAGGCCUGAGGAAUGCUGGUGGGUUUCAAGGAGUGGCAGGAGGGAUUCUGCAGCCCAGCCGGCGAGCCAGCGAGCCAGCAGGCCGAGUCAGUGGCUCGGCGUUGAUGGCCGGCAUUGCAGGGCUCCGCUGCCAGCUCGCCGGUGGAGCCGUCGCUUCCUGCCACACGCUGGUACCCUCUACCUGUAGGGGCUGGCAGCAGCAGGCCCUUGGGGUGAGUGAUGGGAAGAGGAGAAGGGGCGGCAAGGGGAAGGAGCAGGAAGCGGCUUUCGAUCCUUCUUUCGGAAGCAGGUUGCUGCGAAUGUACAUCAGCCUGGUCCAACUCAUCCCAGAUUAAUUGGGCAGGAUAUAGAGGCAUCUGGCUGCCAUGCAGAGCGAGCGAAGAUUCAGCGGGCGCUGCAUCCCCGGCUGGCUUUUGGAAGUGGCCCCAGUGCUGCCAGGCACAAUUAUUUUCAGCAAUGUCUUUCUGCUGCCGAAACUUAGGACUGCAGACUUUGGCACCCGAGCUAAGCGCCGAUUUGUAAGCUCACAAAUGGACACCAUCCUUGAUUCGAGAUGCUGUGUGGAGCCCAGUGGAGGCAGCAGGACUGCACCCUUGGCUACAUGGUGGCUGGGCAUGUUUGGAGGGAGCAUUUGUGUGUUGUGUGUGUGUGUGGCGGGGUAGGACGAGGCUGGGGUACCCAAGGGCCAGCUCACAAAGGGUCCUGUAGGUCCACUGCAGAGUAUGGAUUUGAGUCUGUGACAAUGAGGGGAUGGCACUCAUCCCCACCCCCCCAUCUCUCCAAAAAGCCUUGUCCGCAUGGGCGCGGUGGUGCAUGCCUGUAACCCCAGCACUCGGAGGCUGAGGCUGGCGAGUUUCUGCAAGUUCGAGGUCAACCUAGUCUACAUAGUAAGACCUUGUCUGGCCCCUGGAGACUGUCAGGUGGGCUCAGGUGGCCUGCAAUGCCGUUCACUACUUCUGUGUGUGAUCUGUGAAUAGAUCUGGCGAUUCAGUUUUUACUCGCUGCUCUGUGAGGCCUGGCGCCCCUGGGAGCACUGUUUCCCUCAUUGAUCCCCUGACACCCAGCACAGCGUAGACACAUUAGGUAUCAGGCUGCCUGCUGGACCCACCGCCAUGGAUGGGAGAAAUAUGACCGGACCACGCACCACUGUGCAGGGCAGUGGCUGAGAACAGGUGAGCCUGGAUGAAAGAAACUCCACGGGAUAAAAAUGGAGUGCUCCAGCCAGGCCGGGUGGCACAUGCCUACUAUCCCAGCACUCUGGGAGGCUGAGGCAGGAGGAUCACAAGUUCAAACCGAGCCUACUUAGCAAGACUUUGUCUCUAAAGAAAAAUGUCAUAAAAGGACUGGGAAUGCAGCUCCAUGUGAAGGGAUUGGGUUCAAUCUCAAGGACUGAGAAAAAAGUUCAGUGGUCCAGGUUGGAGAGGGUGAGGCUUGAGCUGCAGGGAGCCAAGGAAGGGCAGGAGGAGAUGCAGGUGAGUGGUGCACAGCCAGAGCAGCCGAGCUGCCGGCCUGGGACCCGAAGGGCUGAGCAGCAGGCAGCUGGGUCUGGGCACAGAGCGGUCCCGGGGGCCCUAAGUGUGAGCUUCCUCCCCACGCUCCUUCCAUCCUGCUGUGCGUGGGCCCCAGCGCUGCGGCCACGGAGCCCCCGGGGAACACAAGGAGCCAUGAAGCUGCAGCAGUGGGACCACAGGGCACAGGAGCGGUGUCUUGGAAAACGGGUUCACCCUGGGCGGAAGCUGUGGCACUCGGGUCCCUGGUGCCCCCCUGGCAGCGUGGCACCAGACACACAGAAGGUACCCAGAAGACACCGCUCGAGUUGGUAAAUGGAUGACUUAGCCACAGCACCCACGUGGGUAAUGGCAGCUGUAAGUGUAAACCACAGCCACUGCCAACUGUAUCCGGCAGUGAAGGCAACAGCCAGAACUUCCGGACAAAGGAGAUAAUUAAAGGAGAAACCAAAAUGGGCAAUGAUUUAGAAAGAGAGCACUGAGAGUCAGUGCUCAGUGUGUGGCCCCCUCAGGCUGCGGGUCCUGCCGGCAGCUUUCUAGGAACCCCCUUGCCAGUUCGCCCCUUUGUUUCCCGCCAUCCUGGCUCCCAUUUAUCAAGGGUCUCCUUUUAUUUGAAAUGGUUCUGUGUGGGUCGCAUCUCAAGUGCAUGCACUGGGCCAAGUUGUCCAUUUUUCUCUCUCCUCUGUUAGAGACGCAGUAGCGUCUUUGGUCCAGCCCAGCCCCUCCACGCCAUUACUCCUUUGUGGCACCAAAUCUCAUCUGACCGCGAGCCCUUCUGUUGCCCUUGACACCAUUAUAUCCUCAGACUGAGAAGGACAGUACCACACGGUAUCAUUCAGAUGUAGAAUCUUAAGAAGUUAGUCUUGCCAGACAUGGUGCUGCACGCCUGUAAUAUCAGCUACUCAGGAGGCUGAGGCAGGAGGAUUGCAAGUUUGAGCCCAGGCUGGGCAACCUAGUGAGACUCUCUAGUUCAGUGGUAGAGUGCUUGCUUAGCUUGUACGGGAUCAUAGAUUUGAGUCCUAGAAACACACAUGUACACACGCACACACACACACAACACGAGUUGGUCUCAGAAUAGACAGUAGAAGAGUGGGUAUGAGAGGCUGGGGAAAGGUUGGUCAAAGUGUACAAACUUACAAUGAGAUAGGAGGAACAAGUCCUGGUAUUCUAUUGUACAGUAAGGUGACUAUAGUUGGUAAUAAUUACUGUAUAUUUCACAAUAGCUAAAGGAGGAUUCUGAAUGUUUUCACUACAAAGAAAUGAUAAAUGUUUGAGGUGAUGGAUAUGUUCAUCACCUUGAUUUUAUUCUUAUACAACAUAUACAUGUAUCGAAGCAUUGUAUUGUACCCCAUAGAUCUCUCCAUCAAUUAUGUGUCCAUUAAAAAUAAUGUUAAAAACUUCCUCAAAAUCACACCACUCUAUACAUCUAGUUCUCAACUUGUGUUUUCCCAAUCGACAUAGCCAUUGGUUCAUCCAAGUUGCCACUAGAGAACCAGCUCGUUUAAUAAAUUGCUGUAUGGUUUUCCAACGCC
rnacentral:lncRNA from 1 species